rnacentral:rRNA from 1 species
UGGGGAAUAUUGGACAAUGGGCGCAAGCCUGAUCCAGCAAUGCCGCGUGUGUGAAGAAGGCCUGCGGGUUGUAAAGCACUUUGAGUGGGAAAGAAGGCCCUGGGAUUAAUACCCCUGGGGAUUGACGUUACCCACAGAACAAGCACCGGCUAACUCCGUGCCAGCAGCCGCGGUAAUACGGAGGGUGCGAGCGUUAAUCGGAAUUACUGGGCGUAAAGCGCGCGUAGGCGGCCCGUUAAGUCCGCCGUGAAAGCCCUGGGCUCAACCUGGGAACUGCGGUGGAUACUGGCGGGCUAGAGUGUGGCAGAGGGUGGCGGAAUUUCCGGUGUAGCAGUGAAAUGCGUAGAGAUCGGAAGGAACACCAGUGGCGAAGGCGGCCAUCUGGGCUAACACUGACGCU